GAGCCUGUGGCGCAGUGGAAACGCGACAGACUUCGAAUCUGUAGAUCGCAGGUUCGAUCCCUGCCAGGUUCG
rfam:Rhabditophanes sp. KR3021 genome assembly, scaffold: RSKR_scaffold0000020